rnacentral:tRNA from 2 species
GUUUUAAUAGUUUAAAAUAAAACAUUGGUUUUGUAAACCAAAAUUGAAAAAAAGAUUCUUAAAACU